GGAUAUGAGGGCGAUCUGGCUGCGACAUCCGUCACUCCCUUGAUCGCCAGGAUUGAUUCAGUUGAUCUGGCUGGCUAAGCAGGUGUCCCCUUACUCCCUCACUGCUCCAUGUGCGUCCCUCCCAAAGCUGCAUGCUCGGUCAAAGAGGAUGACCAUCCCUGAUAGAGGAGGACCGGUUUUUGGUCAAGGAAUAUGAGUAGCCGUGUUCCCCUGCUAGAAUCUCCAAACAAGUUCUUCAAGAAGUAACUCCUCAUUUAUUUAAUUUUUGUCAUAAGACUGCAGCAAUUCAGUCACAUCUCCAGGUUCACUUCUAAUUCUCAUACUCUUGCUGUUUUU
ensembl:misc_RNA 7SK 7SK RNA